AUGCUGCUGUACGUCGCCUUGGGGCUGCUCGUGCACCUCGUGUUCUUCGCCUCCAUCUUCGACAUUUAUUUCACCUCUCCUUUGGUUCAUGGAAUGACUCCUCGGUUUACGCCCCUGCCUCCCCCGGCAAAAAGACUGAUGCUGUUUGUUGCUGACGGCCUGCGAGCAGAUAAGCUUUAUGAAUUAGAUGAAGAUGGGAAUUCUAGGGCGCCAUUUCUUAGGAAUGUCAUAAUGAACGAAGGCAGCUGGGGGAUCUCUCACACGCAUGUGCCGACCGAGUCUCGGCCCGGGCACGUGGCCAUUAUUGCAGGGUUCUAUGAAGAUGUCAGCGCAGUUGCCAAAGGAUGGAAGGAAAAUCCUGUAGAAUUUGAUUCUCUUCUUAAUGAAACCAGGUACACAUGGUCCUGGGGAAGCCCAGACAUCCUGGCUAUGUUUGCCAAAGGGAUAGACACAAAUGGACAUGCUCAUCGACCAACAUCAAGGGAAUAUUCAGACAAUAUUAAAUUAGUUGAUAAAGAAUUGAAAGAAAUUGAGGCUACUGUCAAAGACUUUUAUGGAAAUGACGGGAAAACAGCAUUUGUCUUCACCGCAGACCAUGGGAUGACCGACUGGGGCUCCCAUGGAGCCGGUCAUCCUUUAGAGACUUGUACUCCUUUUAUCGCUUGGGGAGCUGGAAUCAGGCUUCCCCAAAAAGUGUCAGCUCAGAACUUUGAUGACUCAUAUUUGCAAGAAUGGAAGUUGGAGAACUGGAAGAGACAAGAUAUUAAUCAGGGAAUCAUUCCUGUGGAUAUGCUUAAUACCUCUGAUCUCUUCAAAGCAGAGAGCAUGUUUACAAAUGCAGUACAGAUUCUUGAACAGUUCAAGGUAAAAAUGACUCAGAAAAAAGAAGCUACUUUGUCGUUUUUGUUUACACCAUUUAAGUCGCUAUCUGAUACUAAACAGGCCAACAUUUUAAGAAAAGCAAGAUACUAUAUAAAACAGAAGAAGUAUGAUGAAGCAGUCUCGCUCUGUCGGGAGCUGAUCGACCUCGCCCUGAGAGGCCUGGCCUACUACCACACCUACGACAGGCUCUUCCUGGCCUCCAACGUCGUCCUCGGCUUUGUGGGCUGGAUCUCUUACGCGUCUCUGUUGAUCAUCAAGUCUCACUGCAACCUUACGAGAGGCGUUAGCACAGAGGCCAAGAACCCAAGCCGUCUCCUGCCAUACACUUUUGUAGCCAUUGGCCUUUUCGUCGCGCUUCUACUGCUGAUUCAAGCCUGUCCCUGGACUUACUACGUCUACUGUUUGUUGCCGUUGCCAAUAUGGUACGCGGUUCUCAGAGAAAUCCCAGUUAUUCAAGGCUUUGUCACCGUACUGUUGGCCUUCCGUCCGUGGUGCUUCCUUGGAUACCUCUUGCUCUUUAUCCUGGGAGUUGAAGUAUUGGUGCUCAGCUUUUUCUACCGCUGCACGCUCACAGCGGGACUCGUCGCAUUCGCCGCUUGGCCGUUGAUCACGCCGCUGUGGACUCGAGCAAAGCGCACCUCGCUGAGUUGGAUUCUCUUCUGUUUCCUGCUGGCCGUGUUCCCGCUUUUGCCUGUCGUAGGACGAGAGCCAGACAUCUUCCUAGUAGUAGGUGCAGGCUUGCUGGUUCUUCUGCUAUCCCUGUUUGUUGUAACAUCUGUCAUAAAAAGAAACGAUAGUUUUAUAAAUGAAGAGCUGGUGUUACAUCUAUUACAGAUGCUGAGCAUCGUGCUUUCCGUGUGCGUUGUGUAUGGGACCCAUAAGAGUCUGCUCGAGAAACAGGGACUGCCGCUUCUCAAUCAGAUUGUUAGCUGGACAAUAUUAGCCUCCUCCUUCGUCACGCCUCUCCUGAGCCCUCCCGUCCUCUUCGAUCGACUGUUCAGCAUUCUUCUUGCCUCGAUGUCGACCUACCUACUUCUAAGUACUGGGUGCGAAGCUCUCUUUCCGUUAGUAUUGUCGUGUCUGAUGUUUGUCUGGAUACACCUGGAACAAGAAACCCUGCAGCAAUCUGCUGUUUCCUGUAAACAGAAGGUCUCCACCAUCCAGUUUGCCUGUAACACUGACAUGACCCAGUGUCGAGACCUCUACCUGGAUGACAUCCGCAGGGCCUUUUUCCUUGUUUUCUUCUUAGUGACAGCCUUUUUUGGAACUGGAAAUAUAGCUUCUGUUAACAGCUUUGACCCUUCCUCCGUCUACUGCUUCCUGACCGUGUUCAGUCCUUUCAAGAUGGGAGCCCUGAUAAUGUGGAAGAUUUUAAUCCCCUUUGUUCUUGUGAUGUGUGCUUUUGAAGCUGUUCAGUUAACUACUCAGUUAUCUUCGAAAAGCCUUUUCCUCAUGGUUAUCAACAUAUCAGACAUCAUGGCUUUGCAUUUUUUCUUCUUGAUCAAAGAUUAUGGCAGCUGGCUUGAUAUUGGAACAAGCAUCAGCCACUACGUGAUUGUCAUGUCCAUGACCAUCUUCAUGGUGUUUCUCAACUGCCUAGCUCAGAUGCUCACCACAAAGAAGCUCAGCCUGUGCGGCAGACCCAAAAGCCACGUCACAUAA
rnacentral:lncRNA from 1 species